GAUCCGGAAGUUCUACCUCUUCCUCUCGAGACACAGCCAUGAGCAGAGUGCAGCCCUGCUCCGCUCCACGUCAAAGAGGACUGCGGCAGCUUAAUCUUCACUGCGAAGAUAUGCAGAUUAAGAUGGCACGUUUGAUCGACCACACCUGAUAAUACGAUGUGAAGUCACCACUGCCUACGACAGAUGACCACUACUGGUUUUCACCGUGUGGACCACAAGCAGCUUCAGAAGUCCUGUUGUGGUCAAAGGAGAUGCAUCUGAUCAAGAGAUGUGAAGUCACCACUGCCUACGACAGAUGGCCAACUACUGGUUUUCACCGUGUGGACCACAAGCAGCUUCAGAAGUCCUGCUGUGGUCAAAGAAGAUGCAGCUGAUUUGAUCCUCUGCUGAUCAAGAGAUGUGAAGUCACCACUGCCUACGACAGAUGGCCAACUACUGUUUUUCUCCAUGUGGACCAUAAGCAGCUUUAGAAGUCUUGUUGUGGUCAAAGGAGAUGCACCUGAGCUGAUCAAGAGUGGCUUCAGAAGUCCUGCUGUGGUCAAAGAAGAUGCAGCUGAUUUUAUCCUGUACUGAUCCGGAGAGUUGCUGGAGCUGUUGGACCAUCUGAAAAGUUAUUUGCCUUUUAUUAAUAAAAACCUUUUUUCAAGAAAGA